rnacentral:rRNA from 1 species
GGAUUAGAUACCCUGGUAGUCCACGCCGUAAACGAUGUCUACUAGCCGUUGGGGAACUUGAUUCUUUAGUGGCGCAGCUAACGCACUAAGUAGACCGCCUGGGGAGUACGGUCGCAAGAUUAAAACUCAAAUGAAUUGACGGGGGCCCGCACAAGCGGUGGAGCAUGUGGUUUAAUUCGAAGCAACGCGAAGAACCUUACCAACUCUUGACAUCCAGAGAACUCGCUAGAGAUAGCUUGGUGCCUUCGGGAACUCUGAGACAGGUGCUGCAUGGCUGUCGUCAGCUCGUGCCG